AUACUUACCUGGCGGGAGAUACCAUGAUCAUGAAGGUGGUUUCCCCAGGGCAAGGCUUAUCCAUUGCACUCUGGAUGUGCUGACCCCUACGAUUUCCCCAAAUGUGGGAAACUAGACUGCAUAAUUUGUGGUAGUGGGGGGACUACAUUCGUGCUCUCUCCUG